rnacentral:rRNA from 1 species
UACGUAGGGUACGAGCGUAUGAAUUGACUGGGCGUAAAGCGUGCGCAGGCGGUUCUGCAAGUCAGAUGUGAAAUCCCCGGGCUUAACCUGGGAACUGCGUUUGAAACUACGGAGCUAGAGUGCGGCAGAGGGGGGGUGGAAUUCCACGUGUAGCAGUGAAAUGCGUAGAUAUGUGGAGGAACACCGAUGGCGAAGGCAGCCCCCUGGGCCGACACUGACGCUCAGGCACGAAAGCGUGGGGAGCAAACAGG